GGCCAGUUAGUUCAGUUCGGAACCCAGUCGCUUAAUGACAGCUGAAGUUGGAUGUUGGCAGCUGGAAGUCAGUCCAGCCCGGGAGCUAGGAGCUGAAGCGGAUUCGGGAGAUGCUGAACACGGGUCGGCGGGCGCCAGGAAGAGAGGGCGCUGGCAUUCGAGGGCACGGGGAUUCUUCAUGCGAGUGUUUGCUUCGCUCUGUCUGUGCAACUCGAACGGCGCAAAGGGAUCGUAAUGGCGCAGACCUUCACCAUGGCGGCAUGAAGAACAGUGAUUUCAUUUUGUUCGACUUUUAUAGUGACUUCAUCUUGCUCUCGCCAUGCUGGGAACUGCAUAUGUUGAAGAGACGAGCUGUAACAUUGUGCAAGGUCUGGACAUAUCUGACUUACAAUUUUUAAUUUAUUUUUUACUUCAUUGAGGUCUUUAUGACAGUUUUUACUAUAUUCAUUUUUAACAGAUUAUGUGAACAACAGAAAGAUAUUUAGAAGUGUAUUAUUUAUGUUGAUAUUAUACAUUCUGCAUAUAUCCAACAGCGAGUAGAUUCUUUUCCACUCUUUGACUUACAGAUGUAAAUUUUUUAGGUAUACUGAUUAGUUCAUGUUUGUUAAGUUUACAUAAUCAAGAAUGAGCAAUAUUUUGAAUAUGAAAUGUUACUAUUUAGUUCCUUCCAUUCAUUGUACACCAGUAGCUACCAUUAAGUAUAGUCAGGAAGCCUGCACAUUUAUUGUAUAAAUACCCUUUUUAACUGUUUAGUUUUGCAAUGUGCAGUGGCUUCCACAAUUGUGGCUAUAAUGAAUUAAAACAUAGGCUAUAAUUUGGAAGGUCUUACCGGGGAUCCACGGUACAGUGCAAGGCAAGCUCAAGGAAUGUGUGUGAGCAAGAGAUGUAGAGAUUCGAAUCUGUUAUCCUUGAGUCGGUUUCUUGCCUGUAAAUUUCCUCGUCCACUGGAAAGUAAUGCUGGAUUAGAAUGUAUUUUCUUAGAACCUGUUCCUAUUUCAAAUGGAUUGCCAUCCUACAUAACACAGAUAGCAAUAACCACAAUUCGAAGUGUGGGACAAAUCAGAGAAAUGUAGUCACAGUAUGCUAAGUGUUCCUCAAAAUAGACCCAUCUGUAUGCAUAUUGGUCUUAAUCUCCUCCGGUGUUGAACCGUAUAGGCUCUUUCCUCCGCUCACGUGGUCCUUUGCUUAUUUUUUUUAUUAUGCUUCUUUACAAUCUACAUCAUUACAGAGUAUUAAGUAAAUGUGUUGUAGGUGGUUGG